UACAGAGGGUGCAAGCGUUGUUCGGAAUUACUGGGCGUAAAGGGCGCGUAGGCGGCACUGUUAGUCAGGCGUGAAAGUCCUGGGCUCAACCUGGGAACUGCGCUUGAUACGGCAGAGCUAGAGGAUGGAAGAGGCUCGCGGAAUUCCCAGUGUAGAGGUGAAAUUCGUAGAUAUUGGGAAGAACACCGGUGGCGAAGGCGGCGAGCUGGUCCAUUACUGACGCUGAGGCGCGACAGCGUGGGGAGCAAACAGG
rnacentral:rRNA from 1 species